CUUCCUGUUUUGGGGCGACGUUAGCAUUAGCAUUAGCACACUGGACAACGACGUUGCCGCCGGAGUCUCUGACAGGAGCAGGAGCAGGAUGGAGGAGAGGAGGAGGUGGAAGGGGAGGAGGAAGCUGAGCUGCACCUGCUGCAUCUCGGGAAAUGUAUUUCUCUGACGCUUCCCGUCACACCUGGAAACUGUGAGAGAAGUUUGACGUCUUGUCUGCGUCGUUUAAAAACCCCCAUCACGUGACGGUUUAAUAUCAGUGAGAGAAGAAGGAGCUGGACUGAGACUGAAUCACUGAAUCUUCUCCAUCAACCACAACAACAACACACUGUGUUUCCUCAUCACGUCUCCAUGUGUUCCCUGUGCCCAGUAGAUGGAAGCAAAGCCACACGGACCAACAUAAAAUACAAAGUUGUGGGGUGUGAGUUUUCCCAGAUGGUGAGUGGCACACAGGAGCUACUCUGCCCUUCUUUCCCCCCAAGACGGCAGACGGGUCCUUUUCAAGUCUCUUCAAUCAAGUUCACAUAAAGGCAGAAGGAGACCCAGCGCUUUUUACAGCAGGAGCUGUGCAAGAGUUUCAUUCCAAUGUGACAAGACACCAUUUCAUAUCCAACAGACCUGGCCCCUGACAGCGAGAGCAGGAGCAGAGAGGGAAAAUAGAAACGGCUGCAGAGAGAGGAAAGUGAGGAGAGUGUUGGCAAUGAGAAACAACAGAUUUUAUUAAAGAAUUCAGUCUACAAGACACCAUAAGGUCUGGCCAACACAAAUUAAAUAAAAGCAGAUGGUUGACUCAGGGGUUCUGUACAUCUUUUUCUCUCCACUGGCCCUUGAUCCAACUCUGAACCUGCAAUUGAAAGUCUUGGGUGUAUGUUAUACUGGAUCUCUGCUCGUCUCUCUCCUGCUCUAUCUCCCUUUCUAAUUAAUGCUCGGCUACAUGUGAAACCUAGGAUUAAAUUAGGCCGGGGAAAUCAAUGGCUGACAGCACAGGAAAAAAGGCGGAGUGCGGUAAGCAAGCAGUCAUGUUUUAAUCAGGGUUGGCGAGGUUCAGGGGUAAUAUCAGCAGUGCCCCACUGAGGAUGAGUGAGGGUCUGUCUGAGUCGCAUGCAUGCAUGUGCACGCCGUGUGUUUCCACACAUGUAAGCCAGUGUCAAGGGGAGCUUAUGGAGGAAGAGCGUGUGAUGUCUGUGGGAGAGGUUGGACCCCGAAGUUCCCACAGAAGGACCAACUGAUCCUUGGAAGUCAUGGAGGCAUGCACGGCUGCGCAAGACUGCAACCUCAGCAGCAGCAGCAGCAGUCGUGGGAGUUGGAGCUACCCAGCAGCGUGUGUUCACAAACCAGCCUCAAGCGAGAGGGAAUAACACUCGACCCUGCUUACGUGAUUUCACCAGGGUGUUGAAUCCCGCAAAUUUAAGAACGUGUGAAAAGAGAAUUUUGCUUAAAACGCUUUUUUUUAAACUGUAGCCUUUACCAGAAACCCUACUCUUGAACUUUUUUAAUGAGAAUAAACACUGAAGCAGGUCGAGAUUCGUAUUAGUGUUCAUCUUGGGGGCAUGAGCAAGUGUUCCAGCGAUCUUGCAUUGAUGACUCCGGUAUACAGCAGAAUUGAGCUUUAUUAAAGUGCUCUGUUUAUGCCUCAGUAAUGCCUGAGCAGAGGGAAAGUGAAUUAGGUUCAACUUGAUUGUUUUAUGAUUUUUUGCAGUUACUGUUCAUCGUGAUGCAGUGUUUACAUUUCUUCUUGGUAAAUGUUCAGGCAUUAAUGGAUUUACCUGUAUCUUUGAGGCUCAUUUAUACUGGAAAAGAGAUACGUCCAUUUUCAAAUGAUGUAAAUGUCACUGCCCACAUACUGUCAUGCAACCUUUAUGUUGGCAUGUUUGUUAAACAAUGAACCCACUAGAGGGGAGUGCAGAGCAGAGAGUUUCUCACGAUGACAAACAUGGCGUUGGGGGAGGAAGUUGUGAUAAUGUACCUGUUAAGAAAGCCCUGGUGAAGUAUCAUAUUAUAGAUGUCUGUAGUUUCUUAUCAACUUGAAAAGCCACUGUUGAAAUGUCUUCAUCGUGUCCUUUGGUUGUCUUGCUUCAACUAUAUUGACUACACUGCCCCCCAUAAAUAAUCAGUGGUACUGCAA